UGGGGAAUUUUGCACAAUGGGCGAAAGCCUGAUGCAGCAACGCCGCGUGUGUGAUGAAGGUCUUCGGAUUGUAAAGCACUUUCGACCGGGACGAAACACCCUUGGCUAACAUCCAAGGGCCUGACGGUACCGGGAGAAGAAGCACCGGCUAACUCUGUGCCAGCAGCCGCGGUAAUACAGAGGGUGCAAGCGUUGUUCGGAAUUAUUGGGCGUAAAGCGCGGGUAGGCGGCUUGGCAAGUCGGGUGUGAAAUCCCUCAGCUUAACUGAGGAAGUGCGCCCGAAACUGCCGAGCUUGAGUACCGGAGAGGGUGGCGGAAUUCCCCAAGUAGAGGUGAAAUUCGUAGAUAUGGGGAGGAACACCGGUGGCGAAGGCGGCCACCUGGACGGAUACUGACGCUGAGACGCGAAAGCGUGGGGAGCAAAC
rnacentral:rRNA from 1 species